UACGGAGGGGGCUAGCGUUGUUCGGAAUUACUGGGCGUAAAGCGCGCGUAGGCGGACCUGUAAGUCGGGGGUGAAAUCCCGAGGCUCAACCUCGGAACUGCCUUCGAUACUGCGGGUCUCGAGUCCGGGAGAGGUGAGUGGAAUUCCUAGUGUAGAGGUGAAAUUCGUAGAUAUUAGGAAGAACACCAGUGGCGAAGGAGGCUCACUGGCCCGGUAAUGACGCUGAGGCGCGAAAGCGUGGGGAGCAAACAGG
rnacentral:rRNA from 1 species